rnacentral:rRNA from 1 species
AAGCGCUUAUGACCAGACUUGGACUUGGUUGAUCAUCCUGGGUUCUCCCUGGUGCACUCUUCCAGUUCAGGCCAGCAUCAGUUCAUCGCGGGGGAUAAAGGCUUCGGGAAUGUGGCUCCUCCGGGAGUGUUAUAGACCAUUGCAUAAUACCCUGGGCCGGACUGAGGUUCGCGCAUCUGCAAGGAUGCUGGCGUAAUGGUCAUCAGC